CACACAAGAAUUGCCUAUGGACUAUUAUAUUGGCUUUCACUCUUUCUAGGAAACAAAUCUGUACAGCACAAACCUGAAGCAGAACCUUUUGAGAUAGCUUUGAUGGAUUUGGCUCCCAUAAAAAGGUAAAUCUACUGUUGAUGUUCUACUAUCAAGAAAUAUAUAUGGGGUUCCUUUUGCAGGGAAAUCUUUCUACGAAUCUGAUGGCUUUCUUGUUAAACAGUACAAAGUUUAUGCAUCAGAGAAGAUUUGGCCUGCACCAGAUUAAACCAAAUCGAAUAAAUUAUAACAUUGGGAGGUUCUCACCUUAACACAGAUAGAAAGCAUUAGUUGUAC
rnacentral:lncRNA from 1 species